GCCGUGAUGGCGUAAUGGCUAUCGCAUCGGAUUGCAGAUCCGCAGGUUCCCGGUUCGAAUCCGGGUCGCGGCU